rnacentral:misc_RNA from 1 species
UUUCCGUAGGUGAACCUGCGGGAGGAUCAUUAUUGGAUUUUGAAACUUCAGGCUGCUGCUGGCUCUCCUCGGAGGGCAUGUGCACGCUUGUUGUCCAUUAUUUCUCCCGCUGUGCACGAAUUGUAGACCUUUCAGUAGGCCUAUGUUGUUUUUCACAAUCUCUGAAUGUAAUAGAAUGGUUUUGAAUCUUGGGAAAUACAAUACAACUUUCAGCAACGGAUCUCUUGGCUCUC